GACGAACCGUGCGAACGUUGUUCGGAAUCACUGGGCUUAAAGGGCGCGUAGGCGGCCCGCCGCGUCCGGGGUGAAAUCCUCCCGCUCAACGGGAGAACGGCCUCGGAUACGGGCGGGCUGGAGGGGGGUAGGGGCAGGCGGAAGCUGUGGGUGGAGCGGUGAAAUGCGUUGAUAUCCUCAGGAACACCGGUGGCGAAAGCGGCUUACUGGGUCUCUUCGACGCUGAUGCACGAAAGCUGGGUAGCAAACGGG
rnacentral:rRNA from 1 species